CCUACGGGAGGCAGCAGUAAGGAAUAUUGGUCAAUGGACGGAAGUCUGAACCAGCCAUGCCGCGUGCAGGAAGACGGCCCUAUGGGUUGUAAACUGCUUUUGCAGGGGAAUAAACCUCAUUACGUGUAAUGAGCUGAAUGUACUCUGAGAAUAAGGAUCGGCUAACUCCGUGCCAGCAGCCGCGGUAAUACGGAGGAUCCAAGCGUUAUCCGGAUUUAUUGGGUUUAAAGGGUGCGUAGGUGGCCUGUUAAGUCAGGGGUGAAAGACGGUAGCUUAACUAUCGCAAUGCCCUUUGAUACUGAUGGGCUUGAAUAAACUAGAGGUAGGCGGAAUGUGACAAGUAGCGGUGAAAUGCAUAGAUAUGUCACAGAACACCAAUUGCGAAGGCAGCUUACUAUGGUUUUAAUUGACACUGAGGCACGAAAGCGUAGGGGAUCAAACAGGAUUAGAUACCCUGGUACGUCCACGCCCUAAACGAUGAAUACUCGAUGUUGGCGAUAUACGGUCAGCGUCUAAGCGAAAGCGUUAAGUNUUCCACCGUGGGGAGUAACGCCGNAGGGUUAGAACGUUGAAAGAUUGNGNGNGAGAGNGCGAGACGACGACGAGGAGGAG
rnacentral:rRNA from 1 species